UACGGAGGAUCCGAGCGUUAUCCGGAUUUAUUGGGUUUAAAGGGUGCUCAGGCGGGCAUUAAGUCGGCGGUGAAAUUUUGCGGCUCAACCGUAAAAGUGCCUUCGAUACUGGUGGUCUUGAGUGUGGAUGAGGUAGGCGGAAUUUGUGGUGUAGCGGUGAAAUGCAUAGAUAUCACGAGGAACUCCGAUUGCGCAGGCAGCUUACUAAACUACUACUGACGCUCAUGCACGAAAGCGUGGGGAGCAAACAGGAUUAGAUACCCCGGUAGU
rnacentral:rRNA from 1 species